rnacentral:lncRNA from 1 species
AUAAUUGGCAUACAGUAAAGGGCUAUGAAAGUGAGAGCAGAUACACUGGCUCAAAAACACUGAUACGCUGAGAUUCAAAAAAAGAGAUUGCUCAAGAGGUUUAUCUUCCUGGCUACACAGAAAUACUCUUAAAAAUUACCUUAACCUCACUCUGCAGGACCUUCACAGGCUGACAGAAGCUGAAGCAGGAUUGAGGGAAGAGAAAUGAUGGGAGAGGGAUGGCCAUUCCCAGGCUACUUCCCAGCAUCUCCUUGGAGUAGUUCCUGGGUAGUAAAUGACUGAGGCUCUGGGCCCAGGCCGCCCUGGCUCCGGGCCCUGGAGGUUCGUGAUGAGUCAGUACUGCCCUCCUUCGUGGCCCCGCCAGGCUCCUCCCAGCUCUUUGAGUGUGUUUGAAAAUCUCCAGGCGCUGGUGGCCUCAAGCUGCGGGGAACUGGAGGUUACGGGCUUCGGCUUCUCCCAGCCCGGAAAUGUCGCGGGG